rnacentral:siRNA from 1 species
AGGUCGUCUUGGACGGAAUUGUGG